UACGUAGGGGGCAAGCGUUGUCCGGAUUCAUUGGGCGUAAAGAGCUCGUAGGCGGUUCGGCAAGUCGGGUGUGAAAACUCCAGGCUCAACCUGGAGACGCCACCCGAUACUGCUGUGACUUGAGUCCGGUAGGGGACCACGGAAUUCCUGGUGUAGCGGUGAAAUGCGCAGAUAUCAGGAGGAACACCGGUGGCGAAGGCGGUGGUCUGGGCCGGCACCGACUCUGAGGAGCGAAAGCGUGGGGAGCGAACAGG
rnacentral:rRNA from 1 species